AACGGCCGUACCAUGCUGAAUAUACCGGUUCUCGUUAGAUCACCGAAGUCAAGCAUCAUUGGGCGCGGUCAGUACUUGGGAGGGUGACCACCUGGGAACACUGCGUGCCGUU